UGGGGAAUAUUGGACAAUGGGCGAAAGCCUGAUCCAGCCAUGCCGCGUGUGUGAAGAAGGCCUUUUGGUUGUAAAGCACUUUAAGUGGGGAGGAAAAGCUUAUGGUUAAUACCCAUAAGCCCUGACGUUACCCACAGAAUAAGCACCGGCUAACUCUGUGCCAGCAGCCGCGGUAAUACAGAGGGUGCAAGCGUUAAUCGGAAUUACUGGGCGUAAAGCGCGCGUAGGUGGUUAUUUAAGUCAGAUGUGAAAGCCCCGGGCUUAACCUGGGAACUGCAUCUGAUACUGGAUAACUAGAGUAGGUGAGAGGGGAGUAGAAUUCCAGGUGUGGCGGUGAAAUGCGUAGAGAUCUGGAGGAAUACCGAUGGCGAAGGCAGCUCCCUGGCAUCAUACUGACACUGAGGUGCGAAAGCGUGGGUAGCAAACAGGAUUAGAUACCCUGGUAGUCUACGCCGUAAACGAUGUCUACCAGUCGUUGGGUCUUUUAAAGACUUAGUGACGCAGUUAACGCAAUAAGUAGACCGCCUGGGGAGUACGGCCGCAAGGUUA
rnacentral:rRNA from 1 species